CAGAUCCGUCCCUUUCCUUAUUAGGCUAUCGGGCCAGAGGGGAAUUUGUUAAACACGUGCCAUUUAACCUGCAGGGCACUGACAUCACUUCUUUUCGGGGAUCCGGUGCAAUUACUCACGCAUUACUUACUUAGACAAAUUAAGACACGUUUUUAUGAAUGCAUAAACCUGCCAGCAUGUGCUGUUUUAGAUACAAGUGUUUUAAGCAGGAGCGCACGGCUGCGGUACCCGGGCGCACCGCCGGCGCUUGUUUGAAACUCCCUGGCCUGGCUCGUAAACCCUCAUCCGGUCCCAAUUCAGAAUCGGCUUCGUGUGGCCUGGCGGGGGGAGCAGACCGGGACGCGCCGCGCUCCUCCGAAGAAGGACGGCAUCUUAAAGCCCGCAGCUGUUUCCACUUGUCUCUGAGAGGGUGGGGAGAAAAUGACGUAAUGAGAUUUGGUAGCGAGGUUGGAGGUCGCAGCUGGAGAACAUCUGGAAGGUGGAGGGGGGGAGCUACCAGGCUGGCUGCGGCGAGGAGGGUUCCUGGCACGGUGAUUUGAUACGAAGACUAACAAAAAUCACAUUGCCAGGGAUUUCCGCUUGGCCGCCGCCCCUCACAGCCGCCGCCCCUCACAGCCCCCUCAGCAGACCUCGGGGCUCCCUUGGAAAAGGACGCGGCCGAUCUCUGACUUUGACGCUCCCACAGCCUGUGGGGAGGGGACAAAGACACAUAAACUUUG